UACAGAGGGUGCGAGCGUUGUUCGGAAUCACUGGGCGUAAAGCGCACGCAGGCGGCGCAGCAAGUUCGACGUGAAAGCUCCCGGCUUAACUGGGAGAGGUCGUUUGAAGACUGCUGUGCUUGAGGCAAUGAGAGGGGUGUAGAAUUCCCGGUGUAGUGGUGGAAUGCGUAGAUAUCGGGGGGGAAUACCAGUGGCGAAAAGCGGCACCCUAGCAUUAGCCUGACGCUCAUGUGCGAAAGCGUGGGGGAGCGAAACGGGG
rnacentral:rRNA from 1 species